AAUAAGACUUUUUCAGUUUUGAGAUACAAUGUUUUAACUCUUCGUCUUAUGUGAAAUUUUUUUGCGAUUAAUAUUUAUUUUGUUACUGGAUGAUAAAAUAUACACAAUACUUUAAAUGUGACUAAUUUUUUUAACUUUUUACACAAAUUUUUCAAAUAAUACGAAUGAUCAAAUAUUGAAUAUGGAAAAAC
rnacentral:pre_miRNA from 1 species